rnacentral:lncRNA from 1 species
GUUACCUCAGGGAUCAAAGUAUAAAAUGUUGAAUGAGAAACCCGAAGACCUUGCAUCGCUGGGCUGAAUAACUUGUUUUCUUUUUUAUGGUGUCCAGACUGAGCAAAGAAACAUAUAUUGGGGAAAGGAUACUGUAUUCAGUAAAUUGUGCUGGAAAAAGUGGUAAGCCACAUGUAGAAGAAUGAAACUGGAUCCCCAGCUCUCACCUAAUACAAAAAUCGACUCAAGAUGCAUCAAAGACUUAAAUAUAAAACCUGAAACCUUGAAAAUUCUAGAAGAUAACACCAGAAAAACUCUUCUAAAUGUUGGCUUACGCAAAGAAUUCAUGACUAAGACACCAAAAGAAAAUGCAACAAAAACAAAAAUAAAUAAAUGGGACUCAAUUAAACUGAAAAGAUUUUGCACACCAAAUAAAUAAUCAGAAGAAUAAACAGAAAACCCACAGAAUGGAAGAAAAUAUUCACCAACUAUGCAUCUGACAAAGGACUAGUAUCCAGAAUUUACAAGGAACUCAAACAAAUAAAUGAAUU